rnacentral:rRNA from 1 species
CAAAGUGACCGUUGCCGGGUGUUUAAACAUGCAGUCGAACGAACCUUCGGGUUAGUGGCGGACGGGUGAGUAACGCGUGAGAAUCUGCCCUCAGGAGGGGGAUAACGGUUGGAAACGACCGCUAAUACCCCAUAUGCCUACUGGUGAAAUGAAUUUCGCCUGAGGAUGAGCUCGCGUCUGAUUAGCUAGUUGGUGAGGUAAUGGCUCACCAAGGCUUCGAUCAGUAGCUGGUCUGAGAGGAUGAUCAGCCACACUGGGACUGAGACACGGCCCAGACUCCUACGGGAGGCAGCAGUGGGGAAUUUUCCGCAAUGGGCGAAAGCCUGACGGAGCAACGCCGCGUGAGGGACGAAGGCCUCUGGGCUGUAAACCUCUUUUCUCAAGGAAGAAGAUAUGACGGUACUUGAGGAAUAAGCCACGGCUAAUUCCGUGCCAGCAGCCGCGGUAAUACGGGAGUGGCAAGCGUUAUCCGGAAUUAUUGGGCGUAAAGCGUCCGCAGGCGGCUUUUCAAGUCUGCUGUUAAAGCGUGGAGCUUAACUCCAUCAUGGCAGUGGAAACUGAAAGGCUUGAGUAUGGUAGGGGCAGAGGGAAUUCCCGGUGUAGCGGUGAAAUGCGUAGAUAUCGGGAAGAACACCAGUGGCGAAGGCGCUCUGCUGGGCCAUUACUGACGCUCAUGGACGAAAGCCAGGGGAACGAAAGGGAUUAGAUACCCCUGUAGUCCUGGCCGUAAACGAUGAACACUAGGUGUCGGGGGAAUCGACCCCUUCGGUGUCGUAGCUAACGCGUUAAGUGUUCCGCCUGGGGAGUACGCACGCAAGUGUG